UCAGGCNUCAGGCAUAACACAUGCAAGUCGAGNGAGAAAGCCNUUNUGAGUACAGCGGGGACGGGUGAGUAACGCGUGGGAAUCUACCCAGUAGCGGGGGAUAGCCCGGGGAAACUCGGAUUAAUACCGCAUACGCCCUACGGGGGAAAGCAGGGGAUCUUCGGACCUUGCACUAUUGGAUGAGCCCGCGUCAGAUUAGCUUGUUGGUGGGGUAACGGCCUACCAAGGCGACGAUCUGUAGCUGGUCUGAGAGGAUGAUCAGCCACACUGGGACUGAGACACGGCCCAGACUCCUACGGGAGGCAGCAGUGGGGAAUAUUGGACAAUGGGGGCAACCCUGAUCCAGCCAUGCCGCGUGUGUGAAGAAGGCUUUCGGGUUGUAAAGCACUUUCAGUGGGGAGGAAAAGUUGCUGGUUAAUACCCAGCGACCNUGACGUACAGAC
rnacentral:rRNA from 1 species